UACGUAGGGGGCAAGCGUUGUCCGGAAUUAUUGGGCGUAAAGAGCGCGUAGGCGGUCCGGUAAGUCGGCUGUGAAAGUCAAGGGCUCAACCCUUGAAAGCCGGCCGAUACUGUCGGACUAGAGUCCGGAAGAGGCGAGUGGAAUUCCCGGUGUAGCGGUGAAAUGCGCAGAUAUCGGGAGGAACACCAAUGGCGAAGGCAGGUCUCUGGGCUGACACUGACGCUCAUGCACGAAAGCGUGGGGAGCGAACAGG
rnacentral:rRNA from 1 species